GCUCUAUGCCGGAUGUUCCAGUGAGCACCAAUCUCAUCCCCCUCGAGGCUUUGUUCCCAAGGGUGGGAGGCACUCGAGGUAACGCAGAAAUCAAGCCGCUCCUCUCUGGCUGCCAGACACCUCCUGAGCUAGACCCCACCAGGACAGGGCAUCAAGGUUACCCUGUCGACUCGUCGAGGGGCCUCACCCAGGUGUGAAUGGUACGGAGCCGGCAUGCCUCUGCAGAGAUUGAAACCAAAGCAAAGCCAGCUGGAAACAGCUUCUGCGGGAGGACUUCCAGAUCUGCAUGGAAGGAAGGUGUGUGGACUGGAGUGAGCUGUCAUGUCAGUAUGCACAAUGUCAUCGACGGGUGCUGCCUUGCAAAGAAUCAUGCCCACUGCCCCCAGCAUGCUGUCUGCCUGUGGGAAGCCUGAGAUCUGUGAACUGAGGGAGCCGCUGUGGUCUACACAAGGGUCUCCUUGGGGAUGCACUGCAUUGGCAGAAGGAAGAGGCUCCUGAAAACUUGUGUGGUGUGGUAAACUGUGGUUGACUUGGCAAGGCUUCCCUGUAUAUGAAUCAAUGAUAUGUGUCACUCCACUCAAUUAAAAAAAUACUUCCAGCAGAAUUUCUCAAAUGGCUUGUAACAGUACAGAUUUUGCAUUUCAAGAGUCAGCUUUCUCUUGAAAGACUAUGAGGUUUACCAAUAAUCAUAUAAAAUCCCCCAUAUUACAUAUGAUUUUUAUUAUGGCUAUGACUGUAUAACAUCUAAUAACCUUUCUCCUAGAUGAAGAAAAUUAAUUGAAUCUACUCAUCUUCCAUCUACUAUCUUCUCAGUUUCAAUGGGGAAAAAAAAAGAAAAAGUGGAAAACAAAUUAUUUUUGUUUUAAGAGAAUUAAAAUAGCUAAGAAAGUAUGCCCUUCUAUACCAGUAAUGAUAGACCCUGCCUGGCUCCUACAGCGGAUACUGUUUCAAACAUUAUAACAUUUUGUUGAUGAACAUGCCCAACUGAAUUUCUAACCAUUCAUUUUCUAAAUUGUACUUUUUAAAACUUGACAAGACUCGUUUGGUUACUGAAUUAUAUCCUCUUCUGAAUUUCUUCCUUCUGAAAGUUCUUUUUUUUUUUUCCUUAAAGGGAUAUUAUCCUUGCUUUGCACAGUUUUCUUAAUGGUCAGGUGUUCUCAAUCUACUCCACAGCUUCACCAUUUCUACUGGUUAAUCUUCACAUCUGAAUCAUGUAUGUGCUGUGCUGUGUUGUGCUUAGUCGCUCAGUUGGGUCUGACCCAUGAGGUCACCACCCCAUGGACUGUAGCUCACCAGGUUUCUCUGUCCAUGGGGAUUCUCCAGGGAAGAAUACUGAAGUGGGUUGCCGUGCCCUCCUCCAGGGGAUCUUCCCAACCCAGUGAUCAAAACAGGUCUCCCACAUUGCAGGCAGAUUCUUUACCAUCUGAGCCACCAGGGAAGGCCUAACGGUGUAUGGUAAAGGCCAGUUUCACAAGCAAAAGGUAUUGCCUUAGUAACAAUUUACGAGAGAAGAAAACUGAGGAUCUGAUGUCAGAGGAGGUCUGGCUGAGACUCUGAAUUUUAUUCUGUGGUUUUCACCCUUUGAUUUUUCUUUAAAAGGAUCAAAUGAGAUACAAACCCAGGGGCCACAGGUCCAUCCUUCUGAGAGGUGAUAGUUAAUGCCCAACAGACAGAAAGGACCUCAUAAU
ensembl:lncRNA